ACCUCUUUUAUAUAAAAAUAAAAUAAAAUGCCAGAAAUACUUUGAUAACCCUUUAUCUCCGUGGAAUACGAUCCUGGACUUAUCCUUGAUACAACUUGACACUUCUACACUUGGAAGCACAUUCGAGAACGAGUCACCUAGUCACACUGCACUUCAUUUCUUCAACAAACGGCUUGUCCUGAGAUCCUUACCAUCACUUUCACCUUACCCACAAGGUGGGGGUAUUGCUGUCAAAGCUUCCAAGGAUUCUCCCAUGUGUUGUCCUUUUGAUUUGCACCAAUCCAUUUGACCAACACCUCCAUCGUGGCUCCAUUCCCUUGCCACUUCAUAUGUCGAUUUAUAAUAGACUUUGAUUUGGGAUGCACCUUUCCUUGGGGAUUGACUGGUGGAAGUGUCGCUAGAGACUGGAUCUCAGUGACAACCUUCCGUUUGAGGCAAGAAACAUGGAAGGUUGGAUGUAUCUUGGAGCUCAUUGGCAAUGGGAGACGGUCAGCAACUUCACCAAUCUUCUUCACCACUUGGAAAGGCCCAUACUAACGGGGAGCAAACUUUAGAUUUUGACGAGCAGCUAUCGAGCUUUGGCGGUAGGGUUGCAACCACAGGAAUAUGACUGUAAUUUAUGCAUAUAUAGUCGGAAAGUGAUGACUUUUGAGGACUUUUGGAGCACAUAACAAACACUAUAUAUUAAUUUAAGGGCUAGGCAAAGACAGACAGACAGACGGCAAGGUAUCGAGGUUUUAACUCUGAGCAGAGAUGGGUCUCCAGUACUCGGCCUUCCUCCGUUUCACAACAUUUUUCAUGCUAAUCGCUGCAACAUUAUUGGCCAUGCAUCCGUAUCAGAUAUCUGCAGAUUAUAUGAAAGCAAGAAAACUAGGUGGGAAACCCCAGCCAAGUCCUCCCCCUCCUCCACAUCCAAGCACGGGUCAGAGCCCAAAUCCACCACCGACGUCCACCCGGUCUGCCACUACAAGCGGCAAGACUUAGUGGCAGUCGUAAUAUUCCUUAGUUUAAAAGGAGUAAUUUAAGGGUUUGUAAUAUAUACUAAGGUGUUUAAUGUUUUUCCUUAAUAAUAAUAAUAGAAAAAGAGGGGAGUUCAAUUCCUACUGUUCUCUCCGAGGA